rnacentral:rRNA from 1 species
CUACGGAGGAUCCGAGCGUUAUCCGGAUUUAUUGGGUUUAAAGGGUGCGCAGGCGGCCAUUUAAGUCAGCGGUUAAAUCGUGGGGCUCAACCCCAUUCUGCCGUUGAUACUGGGUGGCUUGAUUGCGGUCGAGGUUGGCGGAAUUCGUUGUGUAGCGGUGAAAUGCAUAGAUAUGACGAAGAACACCGAUUGCGUAGGCAGCUGACCAGACCGCAAAUGACGCUCAUGCACGAAAGUGCGGGGAUCGAACAGGAUUAGAUACCCUGGUAGUCCGCACAGUAAACGAUGAAUACUUGUUUUCGGCGAUAUAAUGUCGGAGGCAAAGCGAAAGCGAUAAGUAUUCCACCUGGGGAGUACGGUCGCAAGGCUGAAACUCAAAUGAAUUGGCGGGG